rnacentral:pre_miRNA from 1 species
UGGGAUAUAGCUGGGUCAAAUGGUGUUUACAUUCCAAGUUUUCCAAGGAAUCUCCAUACUGCUUUCCAGAUUGGUUGCACCAAUUUUUAGUCCCACCAGCAAU